rfam:Tulasnella calospora MTT 4182 unplaced genomic scaffold scaffold_136, whole genome shotgun sequence.
GCCUGGCUAGCUCAAUCGGUAGAGCGUGAGACUCUUAUUACGUAAUACGAUUGCCAUUAAGUCGCAUAGCGUUAUGGUGGAUCUCAAGGCUGCGGGUUCGAGUCCCGCGUUAGGCU